rfam:Pteropus alecto contig165699, whole genome shotgun sequence.
GGUUCCAUAGUGUAGCGGUAAGCACAUCUGCUUUACACACAGAAGGUCCUGGGUUCGCGCCCCAGUGGAGCCA